AUUGAACGCUGGCGGCAUGCUUUACACAUGCAAGUCGAACGGGCUGGGGGCAACUCCAGUCAGUGGCGAACGGGUGAGUAAUGCAUCGGAACGUGUCCGGAAGUGGGGGAUAACCCAGCGAAAGCUGGGCUAAUACCGCAUAUGCUCUACGGAGGAAAGUGGGGGACCGCAAGGCCUCACGCUUUCGGAGCGGCCGAUGUCCGAUUAGCUUGUUGGUGGGGUAAUGGCCUACCAAGGCGACGAUCGGUAGCUGGUCUGAGAGGAGGAGCAGCCAUACGAGAACUGAGACGCGGCCCAGCCUCAUACGGGAGGCAGCAGUGGGGAAUUUUGGACAAUGGGAGCACCCCUGUUCGAGCCAUGCCGCGUGAGGGAAGAAGCCACUCAGGUUGUAAACCGCUUUUAGCCGGGAAGAAAAGGCACGGGCGAAUACCCCGUGUUCUUGACGGUACCGGCGGAAUAAGCACCGGCUAACUACGUGCCAGCAGCCGCCGUAAGAC
rnacentral:rRNA from 1 species